CACCUGAGCUCUGGUGGAGGAGACUAGGGUUUCGGCGAAGAUAAAGCCAUCGGAGGCUGAACCACCGGUGCAGGUAUCAUCUUCAUCAUCUAAACUAUCAUUGUUGGGAACAUGGAUGCCGUUUAUUGUUUACAAUUAGAUCCAUUGGCAGCUAUUGAACCAUCUUUCUUCAAGAUUACGGGUCGGAGCGGUUGCAGGCGGAACAUAUCCAGCAAUUGGAGUGGAUACAACCUGGUUAAGAAACAGGGCUCGAAGGCGGUAUACCUUCCAUAAAAUGGUCUGGUGUAGAUGGAGAGGAUAAUGUUUUAAUUAUUGAUUUGCUAGGACCGAGUCUUGAGGACCUGUUUGUGUACUGUGGGAGGAAAUUUCAAUUGAAAACAGUCUUGAUGUUGGCUGAUUAAAGGAAUUUCGAAUAUAUACCCUACAAGAGUAAGAAUUUGAAGAAUCGAGCCAUUAAUGCUGAAAGACCAUUGAUGGGGAAUGAAAUGUAAAGAAGCACUUACAAAUUUUGGCUUUGAUACUGCCUAUAAGAAUCUUGAAUUGGGGUGAAGGAAAUUAGGUCUCAAAAUAAAAGCCGGAAGGAAA